AGCCGCGCGCCGCCCUCCCCCGGCGCCCCGCAGUGGGCAGGAGGCCGAGCCUGGCAGCCCCUCCCGGCCCAGCAGCCAGCAAGCUGGGCCAGGAGGCCGAAACCCGGUGGGAGGGGCCGAGGAGGGGGCUACUUAUUUUCCUAGGAAUGAGAGCUGACUUGCCCCUAUGUCCCUCUCCAUCUGGGGGAGGGAGAUAAUGGGAGGGCUCUGUCGUCCUCUGUCCAUACGCGGAGCCCCUUCCCCCUCUCCCCAACAGGCCUGGAAAUCAUGCACAGGUUCUGGUCUGGGAGAGACCUUCACUGGCCAAGGGACAUCUCUGAUCUAAGUCCUGGCUGUGAAAAUGACACAAUGAUCCAGCUUGGAGGGGCUGUUGAGAGGGGCACUGUGGCCCUGUUGGGAACGUGUCAUCCUAUUCCAGGGUAUGAGUGCAAGUCCAGUGACUUCAUUAGUCACCCAAUAUCCACCAGCAUCCCUUCUUCUCAUAGAUAAUGCCUAUGUUCCCAGAACCUGUUAUGACCCUCCAAGUCAUACCAUAUCCCCAAACCCCCUCAGUGCUUUCUGCUGCGGACUCUGACCCCUCAGGUCCAAUACAGUGCCCCUGGUACUUACCCAGAUUGAACCCAGGACCUCGCGCAUGCUGGGGAAAGGUGACCACCACCUAAAGACACUCCUUGGGCCUCUUCUUCUAAACUGACACCAACGUGUGUGCUGGAGUGAGAGGCAAAAGCAAGAGCCUGGCCAGGCACCCAGGAGCAAGGCAAGCCCGGGUCCCCAGGCAGGGGAAUCAGAGCAAGUGAAGGCUGCAGCCCUGAUCAUCCCAAGACCCCACGCAAGAUCCAGGUGCCUCCCCCACACCAUCAAUUCAUGUGGAUGGCCUGAGAUUCACUGCAGUCCUCACUGCAAGGUGGCAGUGACCCUUUAAGUCACCAAGAUGGUUGGAGGACUGGGUACAUUUCCCUGGACUGGUGAGAUUGAGUCCUGAGACUUGCUCGUGUGUUGGGAUGGGUAGGGCGUCUUCCUUCAGAGCUGGAGGUAAACUCAGCUACCUGGAUGCUGCGUUGGAAGAACCUGCCUGGAAAGGAAGCCAGGGCACUGGAACAAAGGGCUAUAGAUCCGAGGACGGAAGCUGCCUCUCCUCCCAGGCUUGACUUUUCAUUUACUUGAGCCCCUCUUCAAGGAAGGCAGUUUGACUUGGGCUUCUGUCUCUUGCCGCCCCUUACACUGUAGCCCCUGAUCCCGAGCUCCUGAAUCAGGGAAUGAGCCAGGGGUGGGAAAGGCCUGUCGGGGUGUGUGGGCUGGAUGGCCUGUGGUAGCUCCAAGUGAAGGGGACUGAGGGCACUCCCUUAUCCAUCUGGGAUGGAAGCUGGCAUGGAAACAGACCUGCCUCCUUGAGGGCUCCCAAGUUAUCAGGGGAGGAUGUGGAAACUAAAGGGGCCAAGACAGAUGGAAAGAUCCUGCUACUCCAGAGCAGCAAGGGAAGCUAAGAUGGAUUCUGCCCAAGCUUGGGGUGGGAGGUAGGAUCAGGAAAUCUCUCCCCAUCCGUCAAUGCAGGGCAAGAGCCCAGUUAAAGUGGAGUGUGGGCUCUGCCACAUGCUAGAAGAGAGUUCUGGGGUAAGUCACUUAAGUUUUAGCAAACAAUAGUGUCCCUAAACAUAAAACAGGAUGAAUAAUGUCCACCUCAUAGAGUUAUUUUAAGGACAGAAUGGGAUAAGCGGGUCGAGAAUUGAGCAUGGGCCCGGCCCACAGGUUUAGUAAGUCAGUGCCUAUUACCUUGCGCAGGUGUUCCGCCUGGCCAGGGAUUCUGUUGGUACAGGUGCAGUUACUGUCGUCACCAGGAGGUGGCGCCCCGGCCCCAAAAGAGCCUUAUUUGCUCGACUUUUUGCGGGGCUCUGUGAAAGGUUUGGGCGGGGUCGCCUCUUGGAUCUCAGUCCGUUAGACCCCUACCUUCCCGGGCGUGGUGGGGCGAAGUGCUUGUACUCCCCUCAGUUAUCUAUGGUCGCUGGCUCCUGGAAGGGGAGACCUCGGUCACCAUGGGACAGUCAGAGGAGCCUUCGUUUUCCAUCCGUGUUAUGUAAGAGCACAACCUUCAGGGAGCGCCGGGGCAAAGUUUAGGGUGCUUUGCUCAGGGUGGACGAGAAGAAGGACUUCCUGAAGGAGCGAGCAUCACAACACGGAGGCUGGAGCGCGGGAGCGUCUGAGCCUGGUGCUGAGGCAGGGGGAUGACCCAUCUGACCUUUCUCAGUGCAAGGGAGCCGGGCUGCCCCUCGCGGUGGACCUCCGGCAGUGGAUGGCCCCUUGAUGCGGUCACUGGUAAUUCUAAGAUCUGCCAGCAGAGGGACACAGAGAGACGCCCGCGCCGAUCCGCUCUCCUCCCCGCCUGAGCUAGCCCUCCCGGGAAACUUCCCUGCUUGGCAGAGCCUGCCUGGGCGAGACCCAACGUGUCAGGUGUCCUUAAGCUCUGGAAGAAGACUUGCCCUUCUUCCUCCUGCUGGGCUUCUUGGGGAGAGCAUUUUAGGUGAGGGGAGGGUCAGCUCCCAUCCUAACUCAGCCCUGGCCCAGCUGAGCUCCACCCUAAGUAGGACUUGCUGGCCAUUCCAGUCUAGAAACUCAGAAAUCCUAGGACAGGUGGGACUACCUCCCAGAGGCAGGGGUUUGGGAGGGGGCCCCCUGCCACCCUGGCCUGGAUCGCCAGCUGGACCUCAGGAAGUAGGGGGUGCCCACCCCAUACCACCUUGGCUAGUUCCCGGCAUUCUCCUGGACAGGCUCCCAGAGGCCCACAAAGGCCCUCAGAUGAAGUUCUGAGCCUUGCAUUGCUGUGCCCUGGGCCAGCGUCCUGCUGGCUCUAGGCACCGCAAGUCCCUGGCACUCCCUGUAGAGCUUUGUCCACCAGCCCUGAACCAGGGCCGGUGGGGCCAUGUUUGCUGGGGGAGGAGUAGUCAGGCAUCCCUCAGAGCUGGGGCAGUCUCCCUUCUGUCCUGCCUGUGGCUUUGCUGUCUUCCAGAUGACCAGCCCCUCAUUUCUCACUUGCUGGCCCUCACCACCAGGGUGAUCUGGAGGAAAUGGUCUUUCCUCCUCACAUGCCCUCCUAGCUGACCCAGGAGUCAGUGGUGGGUAAUGUCCUCAUUUGUAGACAAUACCAUGAGGCUCCAAGGACUCCCUGUGGCCUGUGGCUCCCUGCAGAAGUUUCUGACAGCACGACUUUCUUACUGCAGCCCUGAUGCCUACUGUAUGCUGGCCCUGGGCUCCAGUGGAUCUGUACACUCAGGAGUGAGAAGGGCUCCUGCCUUCAUGAAGCAUCCGUGUGGUGUUAUAUGGGCUUUGGAGAGGAAGCCAAGGCACUGCAUGGCCCUGCAGGGCUGUCCGCCCAGCAAGGGACACUUCCUCAGAGAGGUCUUCCUUGACCAGCUAUCAAACAGCCCCUCUGACUAGGUGCUGUCACACCUUCAUGUUUUGUUUGUUUCAAAACCCUUUUGGGAUCUGUAUUCAUCUUCCUUACCUGUGGAUGGUUCAUUAUCUAAGUACCUUCUGCAUACCAGGUUCAUUAUCUAAGUACCUUCUGCAUACCAGGCACAGCUGUAGCCCCUAGGUGACACGGAAGUGAAAGAACAAAUUUCUUAUCCUCGAGGGCUAGGGCUGUAGCUCAGUUGUAGAGCACUUGCCUGGCACCUGUGAG